GCCUAUGAUGAUCCAAUCCACCUUGUUGAGGUGUAGUGGAGCCAAGAUCCUGCCUAGCAGGGUGAACCUACUUGGUGAAGCUACACUAAUAGGAAAGUAAUGGAUUUAGCUGAGGC